rnacentral:rRNA from 1 species
UACGGAAGGGGCUAGCGUUUUUAGGAAUUACUGGGCGUAAAGAGCGCGUAGGCGGCUUACCAAGCUGGGGGUGAAAUCCCGGAGCGCAACUCCGGAACUGCCUUCAAAACUGGUAGGCUCGAGUCCGGAAGAGGGGCGUGGAAUUCCCAGUGUAGAGGUGAAAUUCGUAGAUAUUGGGAAGACCACCGGUGGCGAAGGCGGCGCCCUGGUCCGGUACUGACGCUAAGGCGAGAAAGCGUGGGGAGCAAACAGG